rnacentral:lncRNA from 1 species
AGGUUUUUCUGCGGAGGGUAAAAACCUCCUCUAUUACUGACUAUUAUUUUGAGGGGGUUUUAACCUCCCUUAUUUUCAACUAUUUAAUUAAAAUAAAAAUACCUGUAUUUUUUAUAUGNUAUUCAAUUCACCAUAUUGCUGAAAUAAUAAUGAAUAAUAAUAAAAUAUAUAUAAAAUUGUAAAAUACAGAAAAGUAAUUCAAAAUUAAUUUUAUUGAUGAUUUAAAAUAACAUACAUUCAUUGACAAUUACAAUGUUUAAAGANCAUUACAACUUCAUCCAUAAUCACUAAAAAUACAUAAUAGACUAAAUAUAUUUCUAUCCUAAACCCUCAAAAUGUUGUUAGCAUGAGAUAAUCCUCUUGUACUCAAAGAAGACUUAGACUUAUUUGUAUCAACAGCCAGUGAAGACAACAUAAUUCCUUCAAAAGGACUAAAUUAUUAAUCAAAUAUUGAAGACCACAAAAUCCUAUCUACAAAACUGACAAUCUCCAUACAUGUCCGAUAUUAGAGAUGUAUAUGUUUUUACUUACUUAUACACUCCAAUUUCAACUUUUCCCUCUUUCCUCAACUCAACUUCAACUAUCUCCUCUGCUCCCUUCAAAGCAUGCACAAUACUUGUACCAAGAAGAGACUGCUUCUCGGAUUUGGAAGAGAGAUUUGGGCUGCAAGAGUGUCCAUGAUUCUGUAAAGCUGAAUCAAUUUCAUUCAGUGGAGAGAAAUGUGUACAUGAAUUAAUUGGAAAGUCAUCUGAAUGUCCUAUCCAUUUUGUGUCCCUUGUCCAUUACAACAAUCUUGUUGGCAGAAGACAUUGCAUGCACAUAAAUUUAGAUGCAUCAAUAAGUUAAUCCUUAUUAGUACACCUUUUUAUAGAAAUACAAAAUAUCACUGAAAAUAUCAUGUUCUUCUGAACUUAAUCAGAAUGCUUGACAAAAAAAUAAUGUAGUUAUGACAAUAAAUGAUAGUUUUGAAGAGAAUAAUUAANANAGUAAAUAAUGGUUUUGAAGACAGUACACAAUAACCUGAAUAUUAUGGGUACAGAGAAAUAUUUCUUAAUUGAUCACGUCAAUACCCCUCUCCCUAAAAACAAACUGCAUGUUUCAUCAAUUUUCACCUCUUUAACUCAACAAAGACUUUAUUCCAGCUUAAAUAGAUAUGGAUUACAAUCAUUCCAAUGAUCAUACUCACAUAUAAUUUCANCCCUGUAAUGUAUCCAUAAUAAAAACAGAACUANCACCCAUUCAUUAGAAACAAACUAGUAGAUAAAAGAAAUUCCAAGAAUCCAAGUUUCGACCACUAAAUCAUGCUUUGCUUCGUAAUAAUCAACUUAACACAUAAUAAUCCAUAUAUUGCUUAGCAUAACAGUAUAUUUAAACAUAUCCUUCCUAGUUAUAACUUAUAAAACACUUAAUAAAAUACAAAUUGUUAUUUCACCAAUUUAUAAUACAUCAACCAUCAAUUCUAUAAAAUGUAACCUUAAUUCAAAAGGAUGUGUGUUUUAAAUGUAUAAACAUUAAUUAAAUGUUG